rnacentral:rRNA from 1 species
AUACGGAGGGUGCAAGCGUUACUCGGAAUCACUGGGCGUAAAGCGCGCGCAGGCGGUCUUUUAAGUUGGAUGUGAAAGCCUACGGCUCAACCGUAGAACUGCAUCCAAAACUAUUAGACUAGAGUGUGAGAGAGGAAGAUGGAAUUAGUUGUGUAGGGGUAAAAUCCGUAGAGAUAACUAGGAAUACCAAAAGCGAAGGCAAUCUUCUGGAACACUACUGACGCUGAGGCGCGAAAGCGUGGGGAGCAAACAGUAUUAGAAACCCUAGUAGUCC